rnacentral:rRNA from 1 species
UACAGAGGGUGCGAGCGUUAAUCGGAAUGACUGGGCGUAAAGGGCGCGUAGGUGGUUUUUCGAGUUGGAUGUGAAAUUCCCGGGCUUAACCUGGGAGGGUCAUCCAAAACUGAUUGACUAGAGUAUGGUAGAGGGAAGUGGAAUUUCCGGUGUAGCGGUGAAAUGCGUAGAUAUCGGAAGGAACACUGGUGGCGAAGGCGACUUCCUGGACUGAUACUGACACUGAGGCGCGAAAGCGUGGGGAGCAAACAGG